ACAGCCAUAUCACAUCGAAAUACCAGUUCCCAUAUAAUCAUUGAAGUUAAGCAAUGACGAGCCUGGUCAGUACCUAGAUGCGUGACCGCUUGGGAAUAUCAGGUGCUGUAA